UUGUUAGUGGCAGACGGGUGAGUAAUGCGUAGGAAUCUACCUAGUAGUAUGGAAUAGCCAUUAGAAAUGAUGGGUAAUACUGUAUAAUCCCUGCGGGGGAAAGAUUUAUCGCUAUUAGAUGAGCCUACGUUAGAUUAGCUAGUUGGUAAGGUAAUGGCUUACCAAGGCUAUGAUCUAUAGCUGGUCUGAGAGGACGAUCAGCCACACUGGAACUGAGAUACGGUCCAGACUCCUACGGGAGGCAGCAGUGGGGAAUAUUGGACAAUGGGCGAAAGCCUGAUCCAGCUAUGCCGCGUGAGUGAAGAAGGCCUUCGGGUUGUAAAACUCUUUCAAUAGGGAAGAUAAUGACGGUACCUAUAGAAGAAUCCCCNGGGCAAAGUCAA
rnacentral:rRNA from 1 species